AUUGAACGCUGGCGGCAGGCUUAACACAUGCAAGUCGAGCGAGCGGCGGACGGGUGAGUAAGGUCUGGGAAACUGCCUGAUGAAGGGGGAAAACAACGGGAAAAGGUAGCUAAUACCGAAUACACUCAGCUGUGCCAAGAUGGGAUUAGCUAGUAGGUGGGGUAAGGGCUCACCUAGGCGACGAACCCUAGCUGGUCUGAGAGGAUGACCAGCCACACUGGAACUGAGACACGGUCCAGACUCCUACGGGAGGCAGCAGUGGGGAAUAUUGCACAAUGGGCGCAAGCCUGAUGCAGCCAUGCCGCGUGUGUGAAGAAGGCCUUCGGGUUGUAAAGCACUUUCAGCGAGGAGGCGUUACUCGCAGAAGAAGCACCGGCUAACUCCGUGCCAGCAGCCGCGGUAAUAC
rnacentral:rRNA from 1 species